GUCGCUUUGGCCGAGUGGUUAAGACGUGUGCCUGCUAAUUACAUGGGAUAUUCUUGCGAGAGUUCAAAUCUCUCAGGCGACG
rfam:Gossypium arboreum cultivar AKA8401 contig_11857_1, whole genome shotgun sequence.